rnacentral:piRNA from 1 species
AAUAGUGAAAGACUGGUUAAUGA